UACAGAGGGUGCUAGCGUUGUUCGGAAUCAUUGGGCGUAAAGGGCGUGUAGGCGGUUUGUUGAGUCAUGUGUGAAAUCCCUCGGCUCAACCGGGGAACGACGCAUGAAACUGGCAAGCUAGAGUACCAAAGAGGGGGGUGGAAUUCCCGGUGUAGCGGUGAAAUGCGUAGAUAUCUGGAGGAACACCGGUGGCGAAGGCGGCAUCCUGGACCAACACUGACACUGAGGAGCGAAAGCCAGGGGAGCAAACGGG
rnacentral:rRNA from 1 species